AUUGAACGCUGGCGGCAUGCCUUACACAUGCAAGUCGAACGGCAGCACGGGGCAACCUGGUGGCGAGUGGCGAACGGGUGAGUAAUGCAUCGGAACGUGCCAUUGAGUGGGGGAUAACGUAGCGAAAGUUGCGCUAAUACCGCAUAUUCUGUGAGCAGGAAAGCAGGGGACCGCAAGGCCUUGCGCUCUUUGAGCGGCCGAUGUCAGAUUAGCUAGUUGGUGAGGUAAAGGCUUACCAAGGCGACGAUCUGUAGCGGGUCUGAGAGGAUGAUCCGCCACACUGGAACUGAGACACGGUCCAGACUCCUACGGGAGGCAGCAGUGGGGAAUUUUGGACAAUGGGCGCAAGCCUGAUCCAGCCAUGCCGCGUGAGUGAAGAAGGCCUUCGGGUUGUUAAAGGAC
rnacentral:rRNA from 1 species